ACCUUCGGGCCUCUUGCCAUCGGAUGUGCCCAGAUGGGAUUAGCUAGUAGGUGGGGUAACGGCUCACCUAGGCGACGAUCCCUAGCUGGUCUGAGAGGAUGACCAGCCACACUGGAACUGAGACACGGUCCAGACUCCUACGGGAGGCAGCAGUGGGGAAUAUUGCACAAUGGGCGCAAGCCUGAUGCAGCCAUGCCGCGUGUAUGAAGAAGGCCUUCGGGUUGUAAAGUACUUUCAGCGGGGAGGAAGGGAGUAAAGUUAAUACCUUUGCUCAUUGACGUUACCCGCAGAAGAAGCACCGGCUAACUCCGUGCCAGCAGCCGCGGUAAUACGGAGGGUGCAAGCGUUAAUCGGAAUUACUGGGCGUAAAGCGCACGCAGGCGGUUUGUUAAGUCAGAUGUGAAAUCCCCGGGCUCAACCUGGGAACUGCAUCUGAUACUGGCAAGCUUGAGUCUCGUAGAGGGGGGUAGAAUUCCAGGUGUAGCGGUGAAAUGCGUAGAGAUNCUGGAGGAAUACCGGUGGCGAAGGCGGCCCCCUGGACGAAGACUGACGCUCAGGUGCGAAAGCGUGGGGAGCAAACANGGAUUAGAUACCCUGGUAGUCCACGCCGUAAACGAUGUCGACUUGGAGGUUGUGCCCUUGAGGCGUGGCUUCCGGAGCUAACGCGUUAAGUCGACCGCCUGGGGAGUACGGCCGNCAAGGUUAAAACUCAAAUGAAUUGACGGGGGCCCGCACAAGCGGUGGAGCAUGUGGUUUAAUUCGAUGCAACGCGAAGAACCUUACCUGGUCUUGACAUCCACGGAAGUUUUCAGAGAUGAGAAUGUGCCUUCGGGAACCGUGAGACAGGUGCUGCAUGGCUGUCGUCAGCUCGUGUUGUGAAAUGUUGGGUUAAGUCCCGCAACGAGCGCAACCCUUAUCCUUUGUUGCCAGCGGUCCGGCCGGGAACUCAAAGGAGACUGCCAGUGAUAAACUGGAGGAAGGUGGGGAUGACGUCAAGUCAUCAUGGCCCUUACGACCAGGGCUACACACGUGCUACAAUGGCGCAUACAAAGAGAAGCGACCUCGCGAGAGCAAGCGGACCUCAUAAAGUGCGUCGUAGUCCGGAUUGGAGUCUGCAACUCGACUCCAUGAAGUCGGAAUCGCUAGUAAUCGUGGAUCAGAAUGCCACGGUGAAUACGUUCCCGGGCCUUGUACACACCGCCCGUCACACCAUGGGAGUGGGUUGCA
rnacentral:rRNA from 1 species